GGGGAUCUAGCUCAGUGGUAGAGCGCUUGCCUAGCAAGCACAAGGCCCUGGGUUCGGUCCUCAGCUCCG
rnacentral:tRNA from 1 species